AACUUACAAGACAAAUUGGUUCAUUAACACUACCAAAUGUAAAACAACCCAUUCACAUAUCAAGGUUAAUUGAAUUUUAUUAAAUAUAUUUUACGAAUAAUGUUCACGAUUCUGUAAACGAGUGGAAGGAUUUUUUUUUAUCAUGAGUCAUGAAAACAGAGAAUCGAAUACGUGAUAAAAAAAAAUAUAAGUGACGUGAAUACUUCGCUUAUAACAGUAACCAUUAGGAUAGAUAUAUGGAGUCGUUCCAAGAGUUUUUAUGUGAUUGGAAAUGUACAAUCAAUGCAGACGGUAAAGCAACCGCGGUCACGGGCAGACGGGACGAAUCACAUAUAAUUCAUAGUCAUCGUAUCAAAAAACCUUAGUUACAUUUAAAUUUGCCAAAACAAUCCUUAUCAUCAAACAUUUGAUAGGAAAUGGCAUCGAUAAAAUAUAGUAAAACAUAUAACAGCUAUGUUGUUCAAUUAAUUAAAUUGUCCAUGUAGGAACAUGGUUGCGGUCACUUGCAGCUAGUAGGGAUUUCAAUUGCCAUAUUUGGAGUUUCGAGGAGACCAGAGGUGACAAUGGAUCCUUUUAAUUCAGCACAUUCAUAAAAUACUGUGAAAUGUCACAUAAUAUCGUCUGGAUUAUUUGACAAAAUAAAAUAUUUGAUCAAAUAAAAUUUUUUAUAAUAAUAAAAACGUAUUUUAUAAACUAGCAAUCUUUUAUGACAUGAACUUCCCAAAAAGCUCACUAUACAAAUGCUUCCGACUAUUUUGGAACCAAGCUUGUAUUCCACUUGACUUAUUUUGUUAAUAUAACUUUAUAUUCUUGCAUCCCAAAAAAAUCAAAUGACAAAAGAUACUUAGGUUAUGGUAAUGUGAUCAGAUUACAUGGUGUAUUUUUUUUAAUCAUUACAAGUUUUAAUCAAUUUGAUAGCUUCAACGUAUUUGAAUAAUGCGACAACUUCAAAAAUAAUCUAGUAAUGGGGAACGCAGCGCCUUGUCUCCUACCCGAUGUGAGUAUUUUAAUUCAGUCACAUUACAAAAUGAAUGUAAAUUUAGACAAACUAUAAGAAUUACAUUGUAUUUUUGUCAAUGGUGUGUAAAUUUGAUUUUUGAUAGUGCAGAUAAUUUAUUAUUAUUAUGUUACAUUCAAAAAAUGUUGUGUUGGGUGUUUGGUACUCAGUAACCGAAUCUAUAAGACGUACUUAAAUUUUAAGUAUGGAAAAAAAAUCGAUGCAAGUAGCGUUGCUUCGUAGACCGACACCUACAUACGAACGUGUUUAUAAAUAUAUAUUAAAAAUUUAACGAACAUCACUGGGGCAGCAUUGUUGUGUAGAUAAAAUAUCACAUAGGCAGGAACGCUGCCGAUCCGGUCGAACAAAUACCUGGCCAUAAAAAACCAGAAGAAUCCUGAAACCAUAGAAGUAAUUGGUGGGCACUGCUGUACUAACAUGAGGGUAGUUAUGAAAUCUUAAGUAUAGGUUAUAACCUUUAGUUGUGUAAUUUUAUUAUAAUUGAUAAACAAGA